rnacentral:rRNA from 1 species
AUGGGGACCCGUGCCCUUCCGCUCCCUUGCCAAUUCGAGCUCCUCCUCGGCGAAGACCGUGACCGGUGGCUGCCGGAGGCCAGGUUCAUCGAGGCCGCCCACCGCGGCGACGUCCGCGGCAUCAAGGAGAUUGCAAAGGAGCUGGACGUGCACGGGCAUGGGAUCCCGGUGACGGUGGCCAGCACGAGCUACAUGGGCAUGAACGCGCUCCACGCCGCUGGCAGCCGCGGCAGGCUGCCCACGUACGAGUACCUCGUCGAGGAGGUCAAGAUGGACAUCAACAAGCCUGACACCUCCCAGGAUUAUUCACCCGUGGAGCAUGCCGUUACCUAUGGCAACCUUCCUGCCGUCAGGUACCUUCUUAUCAAGGCGCCGAUGUGCAUCAACAACGUUCAGGAAACAUCAGUCUUCUUCAUUCAGCUGCAGCUCAUGGGCAUUGUGAAAUAG